rnacentral:RNase_P_RNA from 1 species
GAAGCUGGCCAGACGGUCGCUGCGCACCUUCGGGUGCGGAGAGGAAAGUCCGGGCUCCGCAGAGCAGGGUGACGGCUAACGGCCGUACGUACUAGUCGAUGGCUUGCCUUCGGCGAAGACGAGGAACAGGGCCACAGAGACGAGUCGCCGCGUGUCGGCGGCCAACGAGCGGCGCAAGCCGUGAGUUCGUCGCAAACGAUCGCGGCGGGUGAAACGCGGCAACCUCCACCCGGAGCAACACCAAAUAGGCGGACGCUGCGCGCGCAGGCAUGGCGCGCUAUGAGUGGCUCGCUCAAGUCCGCGGGUAGGUGGCUGGAGCCCUGGGGUAACCCAGGGCCUAGAGGAAUGACCGUCAUAGGGAGCAAUCCCCGUAACAGAACCCGGCUUACCGGCCGGCUUCACUU